GGUUCUAUAGUGUAGUGGCAUCACAUCGGAUUUUGAAAACCUGUAGAGCGUUUGAAACCUUUCCGGUAACCCGGGUUCGAAUCCCGGUAGGACCU
rnacentral:tRNA from 1 species